rnacentral:rRNA from 1 species
AGUGAACGCUGGCGGUAGGCCUAACACAUGCAAGUCGAACGGCAGCACAGUAAGAGCUUGCUCUUACGGGUGGCGAGUGGCGGACGGGUGAGGAAUACAUCGGAAUCUACUUUUUCGUGGGGGAUAACGUAGGGAAACUUACGCUAAUACCGUAUACGACCUACGGGUGAAAGCAGGGGAUCUUCGGACCUUGCGCGAUUGAAUGAGCCGAUGUCGGAUUAGCUAGUUGGCGGGGUAAAGGCCCACCAAGGCGACGAUCCGUAGCUGGUCUGAGAGGAUGAUCAGCCACACUGGAACUGAGACACGGUCCAGACUCCUACGGGAGGCAGCAGUGGGGAAUAUUGGACAAUGGGCGCAAGCCUGAUCCAGCCAUACCGCGUGGGUGAAGAAGGCCUUCGGGUUGUAAAGCCCUUUUGUUGGGAAAGAAAAGCAGCAGGUUAAUACCCCGCUGUUCUGACGGUACCCAAAGAAUAAGCGCCGGCUAACUUCGUG